rnacentral:rRNA from 1 species
AUUGAACGCUGGCGGCAGGCUUAACACAUGCAAGUCGAGCGGAGCGAGGGUGCUUGCACCUUAGCUUAGCGGCGGACGGGUGAGUAAUGCUUAGGAAUCUGCCUAUUAGUGGGGGACAACAUUCCGAAAGGAAUGCUAAUACCGCAUACGCCCUACGGGGGAAAGCAGGGGAUCUUCGGACCUUGCGCUAAUAGAUGAGCAUAAGUCGGAUUAGCUAGUGGGUGGGGUAAAGGCCUACCAAGGCGACGAACUGUAGCGGGUCUGAGAGGAGGAUCCGCAACACUGGGACUGAGACACGGCCCAGACUCCUACGGGAGGCAGCAGUAGGGAAUAUUGGACAAUGGGCGGAAGCCUGAGCCAGCCAUGCCGCGUGUGUGAAGAAGGCCUUUUGGUUGUAAAGCACUUUAAGCGAGGAGGAGGCUACUUAGAUUAAUACUCUGGGAUAGUGGACGUUACUCGCAGAAUAAGCACCGGCUAACUCUGUGCCAGCAGCCGCCGUAA